rnacentral:rRNA from 1 species
UACGGGGGGAGCAAGCGUUGUUCGGAUUUACUGGGCGUAAAGGGCGCGUAGGCGGCCAGUGCAAGUCAGUUGUGAAAUCUCCGAGCUUAACUCGGAAAGGUCAACUGAUACUGCUCGGCUAGAGUGCGGAAGGGGCAACUGGAAUUCUUGGUGUAGCGGUGAAAUGCGCAGAUAUCGGGAAGAACACCCGUGGCGAAGGCGGCUCUCUGGGACGGUACUGACGCUGAGACGCGAAAGCGUGGGGAGCGAACAGG